AGCCCCCUGCUAUGCUCGUGAUGAAUUGGUGUCUUUGAGCCAACGCAAAGAUAUUGGGAUACCGGCCUGAGGGUGGUGUGCACGCCCUUUUUCGAAAGGGAAGCCUAAAGCCUGACACUGGUUCCCGACCUGGUGAGUCCAGGUUCAAAUGCCCAUUUCACACGGCAGUGCGGGGGACUU
rnacentral:other from 1 species